UACGAAGGGAGCUAGCGUUGUUCGGAAUCACUGGGCGUAAAGCGCACGUAGGCGGAUUGCUAAGUCAGGGGUGAAAUCCUGGAGCUCAACUCCAGAACUGCCUUUGAUACUGGCGAUCUUGAGUCCGGGAGAGGUGAGUGGAACUGCGAGUGUAGAGGUGAAAUUCGUAGAUAUUCGCAAGAACACCAGUGGCGAAGGCGGCUCACUGGCCCGGUACUGACGCUGAGGUGCGAAAGCGUGGGGAGCAAACAGG
rnacentral:rRNA from 1 species